rnacentral:rRNA from 1 species
AGCGAACGUUGGCAGUGUGUCUUAAGCAUGCAAGUCGAACGGCAGCAGGCCACGUAGCAAUAUAUGGUGCUGGCGAGUGGCGAACUGGUGAGUAACACGUAAGAAUCUGCCCUAAGGUGGGGGAUAACUCAUGGAAACAUGAGCUAAUACCGCAUAAUGCGAAGCUUAUAGAGAUAUAAGUUUUGUUAAAGGAGAAAUCCGCCAUAGGAUGAGCUUGCGUCCCAUUAGCUAGUUGGCGGGGUAAAUGCCCACCAAGGCUAUGAUGGGUAGCUGGCCUGAGAGGGUGGUCAGCCACACUGGGACUGAGAUACGGCCCAGACUCCUACGGGAGGCAGCAGCUAAGAAUCUUCCUCAAUGGGGGAAACCCUGAAGGAGCGACACUGCGUGCAGGAUGAAGGCCCUUUGGGUUGUAAACUGCUUUUGCAGGGAGAAAUAACCGAAUGGGAUGAUAGUACUCUGCGAAUAAGUCCCGGCUAACU